GUGCCAGCCGCCGCGGUAAUACAUAGGGGGCAAGCGUUAUCCGGAAUUAUUGGGCGUAAAGGGUGCGUAGGUGGCCAUUUAAGUCUUUGGUGUAAGUGCAGUGCUCAACGCUGUGAUGCUAAAGAGACUGGGUGGCUUGAGUGUGGUAGAGGCAAGUGGAAUUCCAUGUGUAGCGGUAAAAUGCGUAAAUAUAUGGAGGAACACCAGUGGCGAAGGCGGCUUGCUGGGCCAUAACUGACACUGAGGCACGAAAGCGUGGGUAGCAAACAGGAUUAGAUACCCUGGUAGUCCACGCCGUAAACGAUGAGUACUAAGUGUUGGAGAAAUUCAGUGCUGUAGUUAACGCAAUAAGUACUCCGCCUGAGUAGUACGUACGCAAGUAUGAAACUCAAAGGAAUUGACGGGACCCCGCACAAGCGGUGGAUCAUGUUGUUUAAUUCGAUGAUACGCGAAGAACCUUACCAGGUCUUGACAUCCCUUGCAAAGCUCUAGAGAUAGAGUGGAGGUUAUCAAGGAGACAGGUGGUGCAUGGUUGUCGUCAGCUCGUGUCGUGAGAUGUUGGGUUAAGUCCCGCAACGAGCGCAACCCUUAUUG
rnacentral:rRNA from 1 species